rnacentral:rRNA from 1 species
AUUGAACGCUGGCGGCAGGCCUAACACAUGCAAGUCGAGCGGUAGCACAGAGAGCUUGCUCUCGGGUGACGAGCGGCGGACGGGUGAGUAAUGUCUGGGAAACUGCCUGAUGGAGGGGGAUAACUACUGGACACGGUAGAUAAUACCGCAUAAUGUCGCAAGACCAAAGAGGGGGAUCUUCGGGCCCCUUCCCAUCAGAUGUGCCCAGAUGGGGUUAGCUAGUAUGUGGGGUAACGGCUCACCUAGGCAGCGAUCCCUAGCCGGUCUGAGAGGAGGACCAGCCACACUGGAACUGAGACACGGUCCAGACUCCUACGGGAGGCAGCAGUGGGGAAUAUUGCACAAUGGGCGCAAGCCUGAUGCAGCCAUGCCGCGUGUAUGAAGAAGGCCUUCGGGUUGUAAAGUACUUUCAGCGGGGAGGAAGGUGCUGAGGUUAAUAACCUCAGCAAUUGACGUUACCCGCAGAAGAAGCACCGGCUAACUCCGUGCCAGCCGCCGCGGUAA